CCAUGGCGCCGACGGGUACNCGGGGAAUUAGGGUUCGAUUCCGGAGAGGGAGCNUGAGAAACGGCUACCACAUCCAAGGAAGGCAGCAGGCGCCGCAAAUUACCCAAUCCNCGAUACGGGGAGGUAGUGACAAUAAAUACUGAUACGGGGCUCUUUUGGGUCCUCGUAAUUGGAAUGAGAACAAUUUAAAUCCCUUAACGAGGAACAAUUGGAGGGCAAGUCUGGUGCCAGCAGCCGCGGUAAUUCCAGCUCCAAUAGCGUAUAUUAAAGUUGUUGCAGUUAAAAAGCUCGUAGUUGAACCUUGGGUCUGGCUGGCCGGUCCGCCUCACCGCGAGUACUAGUCCGGCUGGACCUUUCCUUCUGGGGAACCCCAUGGCCUUCACUGGCUGUGGGGGGAACCAGGACUUUUACUGUGAAAAAAUUAGAGUGUUCAAAGCAGGCCUUUGCUCGAAUACAUUAGCAUGGAAUAAUAGAAUAGGACGUGUGGUUCUAUUUUGUUG
rnacentral:rRNA from 1 species